UUCAGUACACAAGCAUGAGCUUGGUCGGAGUUUUCUCCUUUUCUACUACUGACUUUAUAGCCCUGUUGAGAAGGCUCUGCACAGGGCUUUGUCUGAUGUCAGGCAGGCCAUGCUGGGGAACCUGCUAGCAGAGUCCCCAGACACAGACAGGCUCCACUUCAUCUUAGAGAACUAAGCACAGUACCCCAAACUAGGGAACUUGGUGGCUUAGUUGUGACCAUCCAUCAGUGACCCAGCCCAGGACAUCAGCCAGCUGGCUAAGGAGAGGAUUUGUCAAUUCUACAAACUGCUGCUGUACCACAGCUGCUUGGGACAACUAUGAGGAGCAUGAAAAGCAUUGGAGCUUUCUGUCUACAGAUUCAGGAACACAACAGUGUAUCACUGCAUUACAUAUGAAAGGGAAGGAGCUGAGAGGAAGGACAAUUGUACUGCAAAGUGACCAGUGAAGGCGGCAAGUGCAGGGGACAGCUAUACUACAGAGUGACCACAAGGGGGAAGCUGCACGAGGAAGAGAGCGGCCAGCUCGGGCCAAGGCUCUCCAUGUUGCCAGCCACUGGCCCAGAUGGAGGACAAAGGAUUACAGGUGAAAACCCAGCCCCUUGAAGUUAAUAUUGGUCCGAACAUGAUGGGUGAUGAUUACAAUGAGUAGGAGAUAUAUCAGGGAAACCAAGAUGCACUCACUUGGAAGUGCCAAAAGACGGCAGAAGGUUGACAGAUCAAAGAGUAUUUUCUGUUCACAAGAGGCAGAGCAAUUUCACAACAUACAAAUAAAGCUUCUACCAACAUUUAUCACUUGCUGGGAACACAUUGGCACUGAACACAACAAGCCUUUGUUAAAUGAAAUUUCAGUGAUGCUUUUAGAACAUAUUAGAACUUUAACAAACAUCAGGUGCUGAGCAUAAUAAAUGCCUCC